UAUGGAGUCCUGGGCUUCCGUGUUGUGGCUUCUGAUGCUCUGGGUUCCAGGCUCCACUGGGGACAUUGUGCUGACCCAGUCUCCAGCCUCCCUGGCCGUGUCUACUGGGAAGGUGGCCACCAUCUCCUGCAGGGCCAGCAAGAGUGUAGCUUACACAGGUUGGGGCAACUUAAUGAACUGGUAUCAACAGAAACCAGGACAGCCUCCAAAACUCCUGAUCUAUAGAGGAUCCAACAGGGAAAGUGGGGUCCCAGCCCGGUUCAGUGGCAGUGGGUCUGGGACAGAUUUCACCCUCACCAUAAAUCCAGUGGAGGCUGAAGAUGUUGCACACUAUUACUGUCAGCAGAGUAGGGAGGAUCCUCCCACAGUGAUUUACACCUAA